GAAACGUACGUGGUGAAUAAAAGAUAUGUGGAGUGAAGCGGUCAGCGAGGCCCUGCUGUCUCUUCUGCGGCCUACUGCGGAACAUGAAGCGCCUUGUCGGGCCAAUGAGGCUACGGGGAUUGGCCGACGGCUGGCCAAUGGGAGCCUGGCUGAGUCAGUCCAAUCCCGAAAGGACGAAGAUAAAAAGUUUGCUCCGGCAGGCUGUGAAAAUCCGCGAACAGAAAGAGGGAGGGGGACAAGCCGCGCGUGUUAGAGAGAAAGAUGAGCGAAGCCGAAGGGCAGGGCGCCCCGUCGCCUGCGCCGCUGGAAGAGCAGCCACAGCCAGAGAGGAAAGUCAUAGCUACACUAGUACAAGGCACCGUCAAAUGGUUCAAUGUCCGAAAUGGAUAUGGCUUCAUCAACAGGAACGACACCAAAGAGGACGUGUUUGUCCACCAGACUGCAAUUAAGAAAAACAACCCCAAGAAGUUCCUUCGCAGCGUUGGGGAUGGGGAGAUUGUUGAGUUUGACGUCGUCCAGGCAGCGAAGGGUUCCGAGGCAGCGAAUGUGACCGGCCCAGGAGGAGUCCCAGUUAAAGGCAGCCGCUAUGCCCCCAACAAACGCCGGUUCCGUCGCCGGUUCUUCCCCCGUGGCCCCCCCCCCCCCCCCCCAGCUGACCAGGUAAAGGGAGGUGACGCUCCCUUAGCACCAUCCCCGGACGGGGGGGAGGUACCAGCUGCAGAUGGAGGCUCCCAGCCUCUUCCUCGCCGGCGAAGGCCGCGUCGGAGACAGCAACCUGUGACUGGGGAAGAGAAGGACACAGAAGAUGCAGAAGGAGAGAUGGUCCAGCAAAGGCCGCCGCCUCGGAGAUUCCGGCCACGCUUUCGCAGGCCUUUCCGACCCCGGCUGUCCCCCGAGGAACGUGUAGAGGGGCAACAGCAGCCAGCACCUGCCCCAGCCACAUCAGGAGAGGAUGAGCAGGCAGCAGGAUCUACGCCAGCUGAGGGAGCACAGCCAGAAGCUCAGAAACCCCGCAGACAGUUCAGCCGUCGCAGGCAGCGAGCUUCAGAGUCGGCGCCCAAGGAUGUGGCAGAUAAGCCUGCUGAAGAGAGUUCACCAAGGCAGGUUGUAAAACCGACAGACCCAACGUCUUCUCCCAAGCCCUCCCCGAAAUCCUCCCCCAGAGUGUCACCCAAAACGGUCAAGCUGCCCGAAGAGGUUUCUGUGAUUCCGGCAACCCCACCCACAGAGUGAUGUCAUUAGAUGGAGAAAAUAUGUACCUAACAAAAGGGAACCUCCCAAUGCAUAUUUUUAGCCAAAUGAAGUCUUGGAUCCAGGAUGGGUUAGCCGCUGGGGGUCUGUUUACCCUUUCUCAGCUGGUCCACUGUCUGAUGGACCCCCAGAGCCACUCAGUUUGUCUGGACCCUUCAGCUAUGUACCUGUGAGGUGGGGGGAGGAUGUAUGUGUAUGUUAAGGGGUGUGGAAAUUUAAAAACUAAAGGAUGCCUGCACUAAUGCCCAGAUAUUCCAUGUUUUCCCCAGUUUACUUUAGUCUACUGAAAAUGGGCAUAAGCAGCGGAAAUGAACAUGCUAAUGUUUGGCUGUUUAAGUUGAGUAAAGGAAGGUGGUAGGAUGCUGAAUUAACACCACCUACCAGGGACAAGGGUACCACACUUGCUUCUGAUUUUUUUUGGAUCUAAGCUGGAUGACUUGUCCCUUUCCCAGUUGACUCGGUUAAAUUUGUUUGGUUUUUUUUGCACUUUUGGAGGGGAUUGUAUGCAAUAAAUCUGUCCUGUAUUAAAAAAAAAAUUAGAAAGCUAA